AUACCAUGGUGAGGGCAUUCUAACAGGAGGUCCUUGAAUCUCUCCAUGAAUCUAGAGAAGGACUCAUGUGGUUUCUGCCUGAAUUGGAGUAUGUCACUCUUGAGUUU